rnacentral:rRNA from 1 species
AUUGAACGCUGGCGGCAGGCUUAACACAUGCAAGUCGAACGAGUGGCGGACGGGUGAGUAAUGUAUGGGAACCUGCCCGGUAGCGGGGGAUCACUACUGGAAACGGUAGCUAAUACCGCAUACCAUCAGAUGGGCCCAGAUUGGAUUAGCUAGUUGGUGGGGUAACGGCUCACCAAGGCGACGAUCCCUAGCUGGUUUGAGAGGAUGACCAGCCACACUGGAACGGAGACACGUGCCAGACUCCUACGGGCGGCAGCAGUGGGGAAUAUUGGACAAUGGGGGAAAGCCUGAUGCAGCCAUGCCGCGUGUAUGAUGAAGGCCUUCGGGUUGUAAAGUACUUUCAGCGGUGAGGCGUUACCCGCAGAAGAAGCACCGGCUAACUACGUGCCAGCAGCCGCGGUAAUUC